rnacentral:lncRNA from 1 species
GGGUUGAAGAGAGGAGAGGAGGGAGGGGAGGAGGGGAGUUGGGGUAGAAGGGAGGACAGGAUGGAGGGGAGGAGGGAGCCUGCUUACAGUGCACCUGCAGGAGCCUCUACCCCAGAUCCUGCUCCUGAGGGCAGACUGCUACUGGAGUCUUCAACCCGAAGCUGAGGCACAGACAAGGGUGGCUGUUUGCUGGGGAUGUACAGGACGAAGCCAAGGGUGGAGAGGGAAGAUGAUGGCUGCAGGCUAAGGGCUGUAGACUGGUGCUGCCCCCUAUCCCCAAGAUGACUUUCUGGCCCAGAAUUCAGAAGACCCUGAAGAUUGGAACUAGAACCUGGCUUUCCAGGUCUUUCUGAAGGUCUGCUUGCCAAGGAGCUGUGAUCACAAAAUGUCAGUCUUCUAUUGUGAGAGAUGGUUCUGCCUGGUGGCUCUUUGGUCCUCUGUUCCCUGAGCACUGUUGGGUGCCCCAGCUCCUCCCACCCUCUCUGCUUCAAUCAAGACACUUACGUUGUAGAAAGCAUAGCUGACUGCAACAGCUGCAAUUUUUAUCAUCUCCCUGCAAGCCAAAUAUUAAAGUAUUUUAGUGGAACUUUGAAGUUCAGCGGGGUGGUACCUUCAUUGAUUGCCUGUCUUAUAUUUGAAUGCCAGUCAGUUUCUUGCGACAUGACUCUUUCAUUGUAACGUAAAAAACAAAAGCAAAAAACAAACUGCCUCACUAAUACAUUUGAGUUUUAAAACCCACUGUGGGUAAGAGGUUGAUGAAAAGGGAGCUUGCAAAUGCUGCUGAUGGGAGUGUGAACAGCGAUGGCCUUUCUGGAAGGCAACUUGACACUAUGAAUCAAAAGUUUAAAAACAUGCACACUUGUGCUUGAGUCAGUGUUUCCUAUUAGACAACUGAAUUCCAAGAAAUAAUCAUAUUUAGAUAUGAGGCCAUAUUUAGAUAUGAGGCUGUUCAGCAGAGCAUGUUUGUAAUUAAAAAAUGUGGGACACAAACAAAUUUCCAAGAAGAGGAGAUUCAAUAAAUAAGUGGUGAUACAUCUACAUAAGGGAAUACUCUUCACUUAUUAGAAAUUGUGCUAUAGAACAUUUAAUUACAUGAGAAGGUGUUCAUGAUUCUCUAUUACAUGCAAGAAUCGGGUUUCAAAACAGUAUAUGUAAGACAACUCCAUAAAACCUGUGUGAAUAGUUACGUGUGUGUGUGUAUACAUGUUAAACAAAAUAGAAUAGAAACCCACAUAUUAAUAGUGUUUAUUUCUGCACAGUGGAACAAUAUAUGAUGUUUAUUUUCUUUUUUUGUACCUCU